UUUCCUUGUAAUAUAAUUUCAUUCUCAAACGAAAUCCAAUAUGCAGCGCAGUGCUGAACGAAUCGCCACCAUCUCAGCCCAUCUUAACCCUUAUACUUCUCCUCACCAGAUGGAGGGAUUGAGCGCAGCUAAUUGCAGGGCGAAAGGGGGUUCUCCGGGAUUCAAAGUUGCGAUCUUGGGUGCUGCAGGAGGUAUUGGUCAACCACUUGCAAUGCUUAUGAAGAUGAAUCCCUUGGUUUCGGUUCUGCAUCUUUAUGAUGUUGCAAAUACCCCUGGUGUAACUGCUGAUAUUAGCCACAUGGACACUGGUGCUGUGGUUCGUGGUUUUCUAGGACCUCAACAAUUAGAAGAUGCUCUCACUGGCAUGGACCUUGUAGUAAUCCCUGCUGGUGUUCCUAGAAAACCAGGCAUGACAAGAGAUGAUCUUUUCAACAUAAAUGCAGGAAUUGUGAAGACUUUAUGUGAAGGAAUUGCCAAGUGCUGUCCUAAGGCCAUUGUCAACAUAAUUAGUAAUCCUGUAAACUCUACAGUACCAAUUGCUGCAGAGGUUUUUAAGAUGGCUGGCACCUUUGAUCCCAGGAGACUUUUAGGUGUCACUAUGCUUGAUGUCGUCAGAGCCAAUACUUUUGUGGCUGAAGUUUUGGGGCUUGAUCCUAGGGAAGUGGAUGUUCCAGUUGUCGGGGGCCAUGCUGGUGUUACAAUUCUACCUCUUCUUUCCCAGAUUAAGCCUCCUCGUUCUUUUACCCCAGCGGAAACUGAAUAUUUAACAUCUCGUAUACAAAAUGGUGGAACUGAGGUUGUCGAGGCAAAAGCUGGUGCUGGUUCGGCAACUCUCUCUAUGGCAUAUGCUGCGGUUAAAUUUGCUGAUGCAUGUUUGCAUGGAUUGAGAGGAGAUGCUGCUAUUAUUCAAUGUGCCUUUGUGUUUUCCCAGGCAUGUAUUUUAAACAUUCUCAUGCUAAAGUUCCUCUGCAGCUUGUAUAUGUUAACAUCACAUAAGUUUAUUCUGGAACAUUGACAACUUGGGGGUUCAUGACAGUUAGUAGUGGUGGUUAAUCGUCUUUAUAGGUGACCGAACUUCCAUUUUUUGCAUCAAAAGUACGGCUUGGGCGUAGCGGAGUUGAAGAGAUAUUCCCCCUUGGUCCCCUAAAUGAAUACGAGAGGACUGGGCUUGAGAAGGCAAAGAAAGAGCUGGCAACAAGUAUUCAGAAGGGCGUCGGCUUUGUAAAGAAAUGAGCAGACAGCUAAAUGACUUCCAAAAGAUGCUUUUCUUUUUUUGUUGGCCAUACAUCUCAAAUCUUCAGUUUCA